rnacentral:rRNA from 1 species
CAGCCGCCGCGGUAAUACCGAGGGUGCAAGCGUUAAUCGGAAUUACUGGGCGUAAAGCGCGCGUAGGUGGUUUGUUAAGUUGGAUGUGAAAGCCCCGGGCUCAACCUGGGAACUGCAUCCAAAACUGGCAAGCUAGAGUACGGUAGAGGGUGGUGGAAUUUCCUGUGUAGCGGUGAAAUGCGUAGAUAUAGGAAGGAACACCAGUGGCGAAGGCGACCACCUGGACUGAUACUGACACUGAGGUGCGAAAGCGUGGGGAGCAAACAGGAUUAGAUACCCCAGUAGCCCUGUCUCUUAUACA